rnacentral:miRNA from 10 species
CCAGUUAAAUUUGAAUUUAAGAUAAACAAUGAAUAAUUUUUAGUAUAAGUAUGUCUGUCCCAUGCAAUAUUUGGAACAUACUUAUACUAAAAAGUUAUUUAUUAUUUAUCUGAAAUUCAAAUUAAAUGGAGUGUCCUAUA